AACGAACGCUGGCGGCAGGCUUAACACAUGCGAGUCGAGCGAGCCUUCGGGCUAGCGGCGGACGGGUGAGUAACGCGUGGGAACAUACCCUUUACUGCGGAAUAGCCACUGGAAACGGUGAGUAAUACCGCAUACGCCCUUCGGGGGAAAGAUUUAUCGGUAAAGGAUUGGCCCGCGUCUGAUUAGAUAGUUGGUGGGGUAAUGGCCUACCAAGUCUACGAUCAGUAGCUGGUUUGAGAGGAUGAUCAGCCACACUGGGACUGAGACACGGCCCAGACUCCUACGGGAGGCAGCAGUGAGGAAUAUUGGACAAUGGGCGCAAGCUUGAUCCAGCCAUGCCGCGUGAUUGAAGAAGGCCUUAGGGUUGUAAAGAUCUUUCAGAUGGGAAGAUAAUGACGGUACCAUCAGAAGAAGCCCCGGCUAACUCCGUGCCAGCCGCCGCGGUAACAC
rnacentral:rRNA from 1 species